rnacentral:rRNA from 1 species
GAUGAACGCUGGCGGCGUGCCUAAUACAUGCAAGUCGAGCGAACAGACGAGGAGCUUGCUCCUCUGACGUUAGCGGCGGACGGGUGAGUAACACGUGGAUAACCUACCUAUAAGACUGGGAUAACUUCGGGAAACCGGAGCUAAUACCGGAUAAUAUAUUGAACCGCAUGGUUCAAUAGUGAAAGACGGUUUUGCUGUCACUUAUAGAUGGAUCCGCGCCGCAUUAGCUAGUUGGUAAGGUAACGGCUUACCAAGGCGACGAUGCGUAGCCGACCUGAGAGAGUGAUCGGCGACACUGGAACUGAGACACGGUCCAGACUCCUACGGGAGGCAGCAGUAGGGAAUCUUCCGCAAUGGGCGAAAGCCUGACGGAGCAACGCCGCGUGAGUGAUGAAGGUCUUCGGAUCGUAAAACUCUGUUAUUAGGGAAGAACAAAUGUGUAAGUAACUAUGCACGUCUUGACGGUACCUAAUCAGAAAGCCACGGCUAACUACGUG